ensembl:snRNA U2 U2 spliceosomal RNA
AUCGCUUCUCAGCCUUUUGGCUAAGAUCUGGUGUAGCAUCUGUUCUUAGCACUUCCCUAUCAGAUCUGUCUCUAUCCAAGGGUAAGAGAUUAAAUGGAUUUCUGGAGCAGCAAGAUGGAAGAAGCGUUGCCUCCCUCUACUCCACGCAUCGACCUGGUACUGCAUCACCUCCAGGAACGGUGACCCCUCA